rnacentral:rRNA from 1 species
GUGGGGAAUAUUGGACAAUGGGGGGAACCCUGAUCCAGCCAUGCCGCGUGUGUGAAGAAGGCCUUUUGGUUGUAAAGCACUUUAAGCGAGGAGGAGGCUACCGAGAUUAAUACUCUUGGAUAGUGGACGUUACUCGCAGAAUAAGCACCGGCUAACUCUGUGCCAGCAGCCGCGGUAAUACAGAGGGUGCAAGAGUUAAUCGGAUUUACUGGGCGUAAAGCGCGCGUAGGUGGCCAAUUAAGUCAAAUGUGAAAUCCCCGAGCUUAACUUGGGAAUUGCAUUCGAUACUGGUUGGCUAGAGUAUGGGAGAGGAUGGUAGAAUUCCAGGUGUAGCGGUGAAAUGCGUAGAGAUCUGGAGGAAUACCGAUGGCGAAGGCAGCCAUCUGGCCUAAUACUGACACUGAGGUGCGAAAGCAUGGGGAGCAAACAGGAUUAGAAACCCUAGUAGUCC